rnacentral:rRNA from 1 species
GUAGGUGGCAAGCGUUGUCCGGAAUUAUUGGGCGUAAAGCGCGCGCAGGCGGUUCUUUAAGUCUGAUGUGAAAGCCCACGGCUCAACCGUGGAGGGUCAUUGGAAACUGGAGAACUUGAGUACAGAAGAGGAAAGCGGAAUUCCACGUGUAGCGGUGAAAUGCGUAGAGAUGUGGAGGAACACCCAGUGGCGAAGGCGGCUUUCUGGUCUGUAACUGACGCUGAGGCGCGAAAGCGUGGGGAGCAAACAGGGAUUAGAUACCCUGGUAGUCCACGCCGUAAACGAUGAGUGCUAAGUGUUAGGGGGGUUUUCCGCCCCCUUAGUGCUGCAGCUAACGCAUUAAGCACUCCGCCUGGGGAUACGGCCGCAAGGCUG